GGAAUGGGGCAGUGGCAGUAUCGUAGCCAAUGAGGUUUAUCCGAGGCGCGAUUAUUGCUAAUUGAUGGGAAUGGCAAUUAACCUCAUUGGGAAGUUUUUCCUACCCAAACCCCAUAGCCCCAGUCUAACACUGAGGA